rnacentral:rRNA from 1 species
GACCUCAAAUCAGGUAGGACUACCCGCUGAACUUAAGCAUAUCAAUAAGCGGAGGAAAAGAAACUAACAAGGAUUCCCCUAKUAACUGCGAGUGAAGCGGGAAAAGCUCAAAUUUAAAAUCUGACAGUCUUAUAGCUGUCCGAGUUGUAAUCUAGAGAAGUGCUUUCCGCGCUGGAC